UACGAAGGGGGCUAGCGUUGCUCGGAAUCACUGGGCGUAAAGGGUGCGUAGGCGGGUCUUUAAGUCAGGGGUGAAAUCCUGGAGCUCAACUCCAGAACUGCCUUUGAUACUGAGGAUCUUGAGUUCGGGAGAGGUGAGUGGAACUGCGAGUGUAGAGGUGAAAUUCGUAGAUAUUCGCAAGAACACCAGUGGCGAAGGCGGCCCUGGACCG
rnacentral:rRNA from 1 species